AGGACGAACGCUGGCGGCGUGCUUAACACAUGCAAGUCGAGCGGUAAGGCUCCUUCGGGAGUACACGAGCGGCGAACGGGUGAGUAACACGUGAGCAAUCUGCCCUUCACAUCGGAACAACCAUUGGAAACGAUGGCUAAUACCGAAUACGACUUCGGACCGCAUGGUCUGAAGUGGAAAGCUCCGGCGGUGAAGGAUGAGCUCGCGGCCUAUCAGCUUGUUGGUGAGGUAAUAGCUCACCAAGGCGAUGACGGGUAGCCGGCCUGAGAGGGUGACCGGCCACACGUGGGACUG
rnacentral:rRNA from 1 species